ACGCACGCUGGCGGCGUGCUUCACCCCUGCAAGUCGAACGGAAAGGCCCUGCUUGCAGGGUGCUCGAGUGGCGAACGGGUGAGUAACACGUGGGUGAUCUGCCCCUUACUUUGGGAUAAGCCUGGGAAACUGGGUCUAAUACUGGAUAGGACCAUGCUGUAGGUGGUGUGGUGGAAAGAUUAGUUUCGGUAAGGGAUGAGCUCGCGGCCUAUCAGCUUGUUGGUGGGGUAAUGGCCUACCAAGGCGUCGACGGGUAGCCGGCCUGAGAGGGUGGACGGCCACAUUGGGACUGAGAUACGGCCCAGACUCCUACGGGAGGCAGCAGUGGGGAAUAUUGCACAAUGGGCGCAAGCCUGAUGCAGCGACGCCGCGUGGGGGAUGACGGCCUUCGGGUUGUAAACUCCUUUCAGCCAUGACGAAGCCCUUGUGGUGACGGUAGUGGUAGAAGAAGCACCGGCUAACUACGUG
rnacentral:rRNA from 1 species